UUUAAAGUCUAAUCUGCCCUAUGAGGUAUUAAAUGGCCGCGGUAUUUUGACCGUGCAAAGGUAGCAUAAUAAUUAGUUUUUUAAUUGGAAGCUGGAAUGAAUGAUUGGACGAGAAAAUGACUGUCUCAAUUUAAUUUUAUUAGAAUUUUAUUUUUAAGUAAGAAAGCUUAAAUACUAUUAAAAGACGAGAAGACCCUAUAGAGUUUUAUAAUUAAUAUAUUAUUAGUUUUUUAGGAUAGUUUUAUUAAUAAUAUAUUAAUUAUUUUGUUGGGGCGAUAGAAAAAUAUAGUUAACUUUUUUUAUAUUAAACCAUUAAUUUAUGAAUUUUUGAUCCAUUAUUUAUGAUUAUAAGAUUAAGUUACCUUAGGGAUAACAGCGUAAUUUUUUUUUAGAGUUCUUAUCGAAAAAAGAGAUUGCGACCUCGAUGUUGGAUUAAAAUUAAUGCUUGGUGUAGGGGCUAGGCCAUUGGGUCUGUUCGACCUUUAAAAUUUUACA
rnacentral:rRNA from 1 species